UACGGGAGGCAGCAGUGGGGAAUAUUGGACAAUGGGGGCAACCCUGAUCCAGCAAUGCCGCGUGUGUGAAGAAGGUCUUCGGAUUGUAAAGCACUUUCGACGGGGACGAUGAUGACGGUACCCGUAGAAGAAGCCCCGGCUAACUUCGUGCCAGCAGCCGCGGUAAUACGAAGGGGGCUAGCGUUGCUCGGAAUGACUGGGCGUAAAGGGCGUGUAGGCGGUUUUGACAGUCAGAUGUGAAAUCCCCGGGCUUAACCUGGGAGCUGCAUUUGAGACGUUAAGACUAGAGUGUGAGAGAGGGUUGUGGAAUUCCCAGUGUAGAGGUGAAAUUCGUAGAUAUUGGGAAGAACACCGGUGGCGAAGGCGGCAACCUGGCUCAUUACUGACGCUGAGGCGCGAAAGCGUGGGGAGCAAACAGGAUUAGAUACCCUGGUAGUCCACGCUGUAAACGAUGUGUGCUAGAUGUUGGGUAACUUAGUUACCUCAGUGUCGCAGUUAACGCG
rnacentral:rRNA from 1 species